rnacentral:pre_miRNA from 1 species
UGAGUACUCCCUCCGUCCGGAAAUACUUGUCAUCAAAAUGGAUAAAAGGGGAUGUAUCUAGACGUAUUUUAGUUCUAGAUACAUCUCUUUUUAUCCAUUUUGAUGACAAGUAUUUUCGGACGGAGGGAGUAGUUA